CUGCGAAUGGCUCAUUAUAUAAGUUAUCGUUUAUUUGAUAGUACCUUACUACUUGGAUAACCGUGGUAAUUCUAGAGCUAAUACAUGCUACAAAUCCCGACUUCCGGAAGGGAUGUAUUUAUUAGAUUAAAAGCCAAUGCCCUCUGGGCUCCUUGGUGAUUCAUGAUAACUCUUCGAAUCGCAUGGCCUUGCGCCGGCGAUGGUUCAUUCAAAUUUCUUCCCUAUCAACUUUCGAUGUUUGGGUAUUGGCCAAACAUGGUCGCAACGGGUAACGGAGGGUUAGGGCUCGACCCCGGAGAAGGAGCCUGAGAAACGGCUACUACAUCCAAGGAAGGCAGCAGGCGCGCAAAUUACCCAAUCCCGAUUCGGGGAGGUAGUGACAAUAAAUACUGAUACAGGGCUCUUUUGGGUCUUGUAAUUGGAAUGAGUACAAUUUAAAUCUCUUAACGAGGAACAAUUGGAGGGCAAGUCUGGUGCCAGCAGCCGCGGUAAUUCCAGCUCCAAUAGCGUAUAUUAAAGUUGUUGUGGUUAAAAAGCUCGUAGUUGAACCUUGGGCCUGGCUGGCCGGUCCGCCUCACCGCGUGCACUGGUCCGGCCGGGCCUUUCCCUCUGUGGAACCCCAUGCCCUUCACUGGGUGUGGCGGGGAAACAGGACUUUUACUUUGAAAAAAUUAGAGUGCUCCAGGCAGGCCUAUGCUCGAAUACAUUAGCAUGGAAUAAUGAAAUAGGACGCGUGGUUCUAUUUUGUUGGUUUCUAGGACCGCCGUAAUGAUUAAUAGGGACAGUCGGGGGCAUCAGUAUUCAAUUGUCAGAGGUGAAAUUCUUGGAUUUAUUGAAGACUAACUACUGCGAAAGCAUUUGCCAAGGAUGUUUUCAUUAAUCAGGAACGAAAGUUAGGGGAUCGAAGACGAUCAGAUACCGUCGUAGUCUUAACCAUAAACUAUGCCGACUAGGGAUCGGACGAUGUUAUUUUUUGACGCGUUCGGCACCUUACGAGAAAUCAAAGUGCUUGGGCUCCAGGGGGAGUAUGGUCGCAAGGCUGAAACUUAAAGAAAUUGACGGAAGGGCACCACCAGGGGUGGAGCCUGCGGCUUAAUUUGACUCAACACGGGGAAACUCACCAGGUCCAGACACAAUGAGGAUUGACAGAUUGAGAGCUCUUUCUUGAUUUUGUGGGUGGUGGUGCAUGGCCGUUCUUAGUUGGUGGAGUGAUUUGUCUGCUUAAUUGCGAUAACGAACGAGACCUUAACCUGCUAAAUAGCCCGUAUUGCUUUGGCAGUACGCCGGC
rnacentral:rRNA from 1 species